rnacentral:rRNA from 1 species
UGGAUGAUGUGGAUUAAUCGAUGCAACGCGAAGAACCUUACACCCUUGACAUGUCCGGAACUUGCCAGAGAUGGCUUGGUGCCCGAAAGGGAAUCGGAACACAGGUGCUGCAUGGCUGUCGUCAGCUCGUGUCGUGAGAUGUUGGGUUAAGUCCCGCAACGAGCGCAACCCUUAUCAUUAGUUGCUACGCAAGGGCACUCUAAUGGGACUGCCGGUGACAAACCGGAGGAAGUGGGGAUGACGUCAAGUCCUCAUGGCCCUUAUGGGUAGGGCUUCACACGUCAUACAAUGGUCGGUACAGAGGGUUGCCAAGCCGCGAGGCGGAGCCAAUCCCACAAAGCCGAUCGUAGUCCGGAUUGUUCUCUGCAACUCGAGAGCAUGAAGUCGGAAUCGCUAGUAAUCGCAGGUCAGCAUACUGCGGUGAAUACGUUCCCGGGUCUU